GACGAACGCUGGCGGCGUGCUUAACACAUGCAAGUCGAACGGAAAGGCCCUGCUUUUGUGGGGUGCUCGAGUGGCGAACGGGUGAGUAACACGUGAGUAACCUGCCCUUGACUUUGGGAUAACUUCAGGAAACUGGGGCUAAUACCGGAUAGGAGCUCCUGCUGCAUGGUGGGGGUUGGACAGUUUCGGCGGUUGGGGAUGGACUCGCGGCUUAUCAGCUUGUUGGUGGGGUAGUGGCUUACCAAGGCUUUGACGGGUAGCCGGCCUGAGAGGGUGACCGGCCACAUGGGGACUGAGAUACGGCCCAGACUCCUACGGGAGGCAGCAGUGGGGAAUAUUGCACAAUGGGCGGAAGCCUGAUGCAGCAACGCCGCGUGCGGGAUGACGGCCUUCGGGUUGUAAACCGCUUUCGCCUGUGACGAAGCGUGAGUGACGGUAAUGGGUAAAGAAGCACCGGCUAACUACGUG
rnacentral:rRNA from 1 species